GGCUGGUCUGAUGGUAGUGGGUUAUCAGAACUUAUUAACUUUAGUGUCACUAAAGUUGGUAUUCAACCCCCCACUGCUAAAUUUGACUGGCUUUAA
rnacentral:Y_RNA from 1 species